rfam:Myotis davidii contig186259, whole genome shotgun sequence.
CUGUCUCCUGCUUCAAGGGUAUUUGGACGGAACAG